rnacentral:lncRNA from 1 species
CGGACGAAGUAGUCAGCUGAUUCGGCCGCAUUACAAAACAUCAAACAGAUGGAUUAACCAGAAACGAAUGAAUUAAAUGCAGAAUACGUUUAGCAAAACAGAAGAUUAAAAAUGGGCUGCAUAUGUACAUUUUUCAGAAGCUUAACAAAUUAUCAUGGAAGUCAUUUGACACCACAACAAUUAGAGAAACAAAGAAGGCAACGUGCUUGUAAAGCUAAUUCCCAACCUCUUAGAGAUGAUCCAAAUUUUGAAAUAGAAAAGUCUAGAUAUCUCUCUCUUAAAUCUACACAACCUUCUGAAGAUGACAGGUUACUAACUUCUAGAUUAAUAGACAACAACAAGCCUUCAUCUCAGCAUAAAAAGCAUGUUACAUUCUAUUAAAGCUCAAACAAAAUAUCUUCUUUGAUAUUUGUUAAUUGGCAAAUUUUGUCU